rnacentral:rRNA from 1 species
UACGAAGGGGGCUAGCGUUGCUCGGAAUCACUGGGCGUAAAGGGUGCGUAGGCGGGUCUUUAAGUCAGGGGUGAAAUCCUGGAGCUCAACUCCAGAACUGCCUUUGAUACUGAGGAUCUUGAGUUCGGGAGAGGUGAGUGGAACUGCGAGUGUAGAGGUGAAAUUCGUAGAUAUCCGGAGGAACACCGGUGGCGAAGGCGGCUUCCUGGACCGACACUGACGCUGAGGCGCGAAAGCUAGGGGAGCAAACGGG